rnacentral:lncRNA from 1 species
UUUUUGCUGAGAAUCUUGUUGAUAAUCUUAUGGGAGUUUCUUUACAUGUGCAAACUUCCAGAAACAAAACAGACAAAACUUUGUGAUGAUAAAUAUCACAGUUGCCACACAGGCCAGCAGAAACCCAAUCACAUCCAAAGAGUGGUACUGGAACCAGUUCUCAAACAGGCAUAUGAGUACAUGCUCAGCAUCAUGAGCCAUUUUAAGUGCUGUAAGAAAGACUAUGAAAAUGCGAUGUGAGAAUUAUCAUCUGUAAGUUCCUAAAAAGGAAUUUUAUCAAGGCACCUAUGAUGUUGAGACAAGUUCAUCCAGAAAGCUUUACUGAUUUGCUUGUCAUAAGGCAGACAUCAUCUGCUCUAAUAGUUUUAGUUAAAGAUGUAGGAUAAACUUCAAAUUUAAGAGUGGAUGCAUCAUUGGGAUCAAAAAGAAUGGAAGCUGAAGAUGCCAGUACAGUCACCUCAUGACCUCUCUGAACAAGCUCUUUCAGGAUUGUCUUCAUAUUCAUCCAAUGGCUGUAUUCUGCGGCCCACACCAGCACUUUUCCACAACUCCCAGAGCUAAAGUAACAACUGAGAUGUAUCAGCAGAAGAACUGAAGUCCAUUUCAGAGUCAUCCUGGUGCAAUGCGAUCAUUCUUUUCCAGUCACUGUUUCUUUCUCAUACUUAUAUACAGAGAUAAAUCAAUCAAGUUAAAAUAUAACUCCUCCAAUCCAAAGUAAAUAUAUUAUAGGAGCAUCCUGAGUACAUGGAUGGCAAGGAGACAAACAAAGUUCGAUUACUUCAUAUUUACUCAAGGAUGUUUUAUGUUUCUUUUAUGUUUAUAUUCACUGUCAUCCACCUAAGAUUAAUGACCUUGCAAGUACCCUGUUUUAUGUAACCUACUUUAUAAUAGUGUCAAGAACAGUGGCAAGUGAGAGAGUCCUGCAGAGCCCUUGACACAGAAUAAGAGAUGAAAUGAUUGUACAAUGCAAACAGCAUUUUUGAAUAUCGUGGUUCAAUGAAUAUCUUGUAAAUCUUUGUUGGAGUAUAAUUCAAAUACCAUAUGAUUCAUCAAUUAGUAUUUAAAAUUAAGUAUUUCCUAGUAAAUUCACAGACUUGUGCAUCCAACGUAACAAUCAGUUUUAUCUAAAAAAACAAAAAACUCCUGUGUAUUAGUUCUCAUCUCCCCACCAAAUUUCUGCAUCCACCCUGCACUAGGCAACCAGUAAUCUAAUUUCUGCCUCUAGAAACACACCUAUUCAGGAUCUUUUUAAAAGUAAACGGAACAAUAUAGUAUGUGGUCUUUUGUGGCUGGCUUCUUUUAUUUAGUUUAAUGUUUUUAAAGGACCAUCCGUAGAAUAGUGUAAAUAAGGACUUCAUUUUUAUUGCCAAAUUGUAUCAGAUGCUAUUUAUAAACACAAUUUAUUUAUUCAUUUAUAAGUUGAUAGAUAUUGAUUUUCUUCCACUUUUGGCCAUUAUGAAUAGCAUUGAUUAACAUUGAUGUGCAUGAAUUCUGUGGACAUGUUUUUAUUUUUCUUGGGGAUAUGCCUAGAAAGGCAAUUACUGAAUUAUGUGGUAAAUGUAAAUAUAACCUUUUGAGGAAUUGCUAGACUUUUUCAGAGUGAGUGAAUAAUUUUCUAUUCUCACCAACAAUGUAUGAGGGUUUCAAUGUCUCCACAACCUUGCCCACCCUUGUCUUUCACAUAACCAAAAAAGUUAUUUUUUAUUUUAAUUUAUAAACACACUCCAACAGACCCAAAAAAGGAAGGUUUCCUUCCACAUAUUGGAGGGAAAAGUGAAUAAAUUAAAUAAUAACUUACCUAAUACUUCACUGUAAAACUAAUCUCACUUCUUUUUGUUAAAAAUCUCAAAUGCAAAGUCAAAAUGAAGAAAAUGCAACAGAUUUUUC